GAGUUUACCUCUGUUAUCGGUUGCUUGUGUUAUGGUUUCAUACAACCAAUCUUGGCGCCUCAGUUAAGGAAGCUGGGUCAAAAUAGCGUACAGAUUGGUCUUGUUUUCUUCUUCUUUGCCGGUUUUAACGCCCUCUCAGCGAUAGCACUGGGCUUUAUAGCAGACAAAACGAAAUGUUACCGAUUGCUGCUCCUGUUUGGUGUGGUCACUUUCAGUAUUGGAUACCUGUUGUUAGGACCUGCUCCAUUUUUACCAUUUCUUCCCGCUGA